UCCAUUCUGGCUUUCCUUGUCAAGACUCCAACAUCCAGUUGUUUGUUCGAUAUCUUUAUCCAAAAAUCUAGUCCUUUUUUCUAGAUUAUCCCAACCCAUUAACUAGACAAGAGAAAAGGGAAAUUGUGGUUUAGAUUUGGACGAUAAUGAGGGAGGAGGACUUGAAUUGGUUCUCGAGAUGGGAAGAGGAACUCAUGCCUCUCUCCCGAACCCUAAUCUCGCCUGAUCUUGCCAUGGCUUUCAACAUCCGAAACUGGCCCCCACAAUAAUAGCCCUCACUAUCUUCGAAUCCCUUGCCUUCUCCCAGAAGUGUUUUAGGAAGGAACCGGAGAGGCCUAAUUCUCCAUGCAAUGUGCCCAAUAGAAUGCUGAGGUCACCCUCGUCGAGUCAUAGAUUUGACGGAGGCAGUAAUCUCUGAAAGCGAAUGAUGAGUCCGAAGGCUAAUUGCAAAGCACACUCAGUAUUUCUCCUCGUCAAUGCGAAAGGAGAAUAGGAGAGCAUUUUUGUUCUGUGAAGCAAAUCUCAAGCAGUCUCUUCAUUUCCGUAGUCAAUACAAAGCGAUUUUGGAGUUUCGUUGAUUCAGUUGACUCGAAGUGAAAUGCUCUCUGCAAUUUGGCUGCUAAUUCUGGUUUUGUUGAGAUUGGAUAUCAUGCAAACUGGUAAAGAUGUAGAUCUUUUAUGUUUAUGCUUAUGCACCUUCAACUUGCUGGUUUUGCGCUA